rnacentral:lncRNA from 1 species
CGGGGGUGAUGUCCGUCUUUAUGCCCAGCAAAGCCAGCCCCAGUAGGAAGGAGGCGCAGCACAGGAGGAGAAGCGGCUUCUCCAGUCUCCCCAGUUCUUCAAUCUCAAAUAAAUCAUCUGUAGAGUCCCCUCCAGUUCCGAAAUUCUCUCUAUGUCUUGGAGUGUGUGGAAUAGCCAGGAAACCAGCCCAGGAGCUUUGACUCCCAGCCAUUCUGAUGACUCCACCUGGACCAGUGACUCCUCUGUGGCCCGCAUCCAAAUGCAACUCGGUGCACUGAGGACGGUUUUCCACACCCCUGUGAUUGCAUCCCCAACCAAUUAGCAGCACCCAUUCUCUAGCCCCUUGCCCAUCAAACUAUCAUUAAAAAACUCUAGCCGGCGGGCAUGGUGGCUCACGCCUGUAAUCCCAGCACUUUGGGAGGCUGAGGUGGGUGGAUCA